UACGUAGGGGGCAAGCGUUGUCCGGAUUUAUUGGGCGUAAAGAGCGUGUAGGCGGCCAUACAGGUCCGUUGUGAAAACUGGAGGCUUAACCUCCAGACGUCGAUGGAAACCGUAUGGCUAGAGUCCAGAAGAGGAAAGUGGAAUUCCAAGUGUAGCGGUGAAAUGCGUAGAGAUUUGGAGGAACACCAGUGGCGAAGGCGACUUUCUGGUCUGUAACUGACACUGAGGCGCGAAAGCGUGGGGAGCGAACAGG
rnacentral:rRNA from 1 species